AGCCACGCGGUGAGCACAAAGCGAACUAUUCUUUCGCCUUUUGCUAAAGAAUACCGUGUGCUCGCCGCAUAUAGUGGCAUACGCCAAUUUUUGAAGGAUUUUCUUCGGAAAGUCC